AGGCUAUAUAGGGAACUGCUGGCCUCGCAGCACACUCUUUUGCGUCGGGACUUGGGAUCUGUUCUGUUGUACUUGGAACAAUGGCGCUCGGUGUAACGGGGCUGUUACGUGUGAAGACACUAAGGUAAGUGCCGUUGAGAGUUUAAUGUUUAGUUUUUAAACUGAAGAAAUAAACCUGUUGAUUUCAAGGAAUAAAAAAUGGUGAAUCUUUUGAAAUUUGCUUCUUUUUAUUAGAUGCAAAAGAAAAAUCCAAAACAUGGGAGAAUAUUUGCUGGAAAAUUACCUGGCUAAAAUAUUCUUACCAGCAUCCUGAGGAUUGAGGAAUACUAAUGAAGCUAUCCGUGUCAGCUUCAUUUUGAAUGAGGGGUCGCUGUCUGCCGGUUGAAAGGGGCCAGUUGGCUGCACUGUUUUUGAGCUGCAACCAUUUCUGGCCAGUGUUACAAGAAUGACCUGCAUGUUGUGUGGAAAACUGGUGAUCAGGAAAAGCUCUUCAUUUUAUGGACAUGGAAAGAAAAUAUAUACAUCAAGAUAGAGUAUUUAUUUUUAAUUUUGCAAAUAGAGUCUGAAGCACAUCAAAUCUAGAUUAAUAUAUCUGUAAGAUUUCAAGCCACUUCUAUUUAGUCAUGUUACACUACCCUAGAGAGUCACAACCUGUUAGCUGGUAGAUUAUAUCCUAGAUCUGUUUCUAGAAAUGCAUGUCAAACUAAGUGUUUGUAAUGGAAUUUUUUGUCAGUUAUAAGUAGCCUUGUAAUCAAAUAAUUGUGGAUAAAUGUCUUAAUUUUGAUCAUAUGUUUGAAGUUAAAAUGCAUAAUUAAAGUGGAGUGAAAGUUUAUGCUGUUUAAUGGAGAUGAGAGCAAUGUGAAAAGACAGGGCCUAUUAUGGGGUGGGGGGACCAGGCAUUAAAGUGAUUGCUCUGAAUAACUGACUCAGAA